rnacentral:rRNA from 1 species
CGAAAGACCUUGCGCUUAAGGAGCGGCCGAUGUCUGAUUAGCUAGUUGGUAGGGUAAAGGCCUACCAAGGCGACGAUCAGUAGUUGGUCUGAGAGGACGACCAACCACACUGGGACUGAGACACGGCCCAGACUCCUACGGGAGGCAGCAGUGGGGAAUUUUGGACAAUGGGCGCAAGCCUGAUCCAGCCAUGCCGCGUGAGUGAAGAAGGCCUUCGGGUUGUAAAGCUCUUUCAGUUGGGAAGAAACGAUUGCAACUAAUAAUUGUAAUUAAUGACGGUACCGACAGAAGAAGCACCGGCUAACUACGUGCCAGCAGCCGCGGUAAUACGUAGGGUGCGAGCGUUAAUCGGAAUUACUGGGCGUAAAGGGUGCGCAGGCGGUUUUGUAAGUCAGAUGUGAAAUCCCCGGGCUUAACCUGGGAAUGGCGUUUGAA